AGUCUUGUUUACUACAAAGAGAAGAGCCCAUGGGUUUACACGUGGCUCUCACUUGUCAAGUGCAGCAGGAAUGUCUUGGUUGGAGGAGAAUAAAGGAGAGAAGGAAUAACACACAUUUCUAUGCUUCUAUGAACUUGGAGUUGCUGGUGUGUGAAGUAGAGCAGUCUUGUCUCUGUUCUCAUUGAAACCACUCAUUAAUAUUCACCAGAGGACAAUUACUCAGCCAGGAGCUUUAUGAAGCAGUACCAUCUCCCAAGGGGCAAUCCCUCGAGAGUUCAACAUGUUCAGCCACCAUCUGCCCAACUGCAAAUUCAGCAGGAAAGAAGCACAGGUGAAGUUGAGAGGAGACUCUUGAAUGUGCCAGAGACAUCCACUAAGAUUACUGACUUUUCAAAUCCUGCCCCAGAUUUUUCCCCAAAGACAGGUCAGAGGACCACGGAGUAUCCUGAGUUGGAAGGGAUCCACAGGGAUCAUUGAGGUCUACAAAGAGGCUUCAAAUGACUUCUGUGUAAGCAUCACGGUUCAUGAAUUCUUCCACCUCCAUAAACAUGGAGAAAUACAUUCAUAUGAAUGCAGUGCAUUGAAUACAUCAAGUACUUCACAGAGGAAGCAGAUCAUGCUUCAGCUUAUUUAUUAGGGAGUUAACAAAACGUUGUAACAGAGGACUUAUUACAACACAGAGAGUGAAAAUGGGUAAGGACCUGAUCCUGAAAAUCACUGAAUACAUGAAAGGCCAUGUGGAAAUGAUGGAAUCUGUGGGAAAUAUGAAAUGCUUUGCAAAAGCUAUACUUUAAGUAUUUCAGUCACCAUGAUGUUACCCAUGGGACUAAGUACAUACAGCAGUUACAGUCACUUCCAUUGGCUCUAAAUUAUCGUCCUUUGGCUUCUAAGAUUAAAUAGAAUGGUGAAGUUCUGUGCAAACAUUAAAUUCUCAACUGGACAGGAUUUUUUCUUUCUUCAGAUACAUUCUGAUAAACCUGCCAGUAUUUGUUGCCAUUAUAGCAUGUCAGUAAAGAAAGAGGAGGUGUAGUAUUUUAGACCUUGAUACUCCUUUAGUCAGCUCUGCUAUUGGAAGUUUGGUCAAACGUUAACUACUACGAGCCAUUGAAGUGCCAAUAAGGAAAAACUGUGAAAAGCAUUUUGGCUCCAAAACCAAGUCUGUGAUAUCUUUCUUUUGUGACAAGUCUGAUUCAAAGCUUGUAAACAGCCUACACAUUUGUAAAAUUAGGUAACAAGUUAGAAAGAAAAAGAGACUCAGGAAUGUUUCACACUUGUGUCAUAUGUCUGCAACAUUUUUUUUUCUUGGUGUAGAUUUUCAGAGCUGGCAGAACACAGUGCAGGCACCUGAGCAAACUGCUACAAGCCAGUGCUGGGAAAACCUGAAUACAGAUGGAAUAAAAAAAAGCCGAUCUACUGUACCACAGCAACAGCUACUUCUGUGUUACAGACACUGGGUUGUUAGGUGAAGGCUAAGUGACAGUGUGGCUACCACCUUGCUAGCUUAUAUUUCAUGGAAUCUUUCUUCCACAUAAUAAUGUUUUUUUAUUAUUAUUGUUAUUUGCACUGAGUGAGUACUGUUCUAUCUUGUCUCUUGUUAUUGUAGUGAUUGAAACUACAAAUAAAAUUUCAAC
rnacentral:lncRNA from 7 species